rnacentral:rRNA from 1 species
UAGGGAAUCUUCCACAAUGGACGCAAGUCUGAUGGAGCAACGCCGCGUGAGUGAAGAAGGUCUUCGGAUCGUAAAGCUCUGUUGUUGGUGAAGAAGGAUAGAGGCAGUAACUGGUCUUUAUUUGACGGUAAUCAACCAGAAAGUCACGGCUAACUACGUGCCAGCAGCCGCGGUAAUACGUAGGUGGCAAGCGUUGUCCGGAUUUAUUGGGCGUAAAGCGAGCGCAGGCGGAAUGAUAAGUCUGAUGUGAAAGCCCACGGCUCAACCGUGGAACUGCAUCGGAAACUGUCAUUCUUGAGUGCAGAAGAGGAGAGUGGAACUCCAUGUGUAGCGGUGGAAUGCGUAGAUAUAUGGAAGAACACCAGUGGCGAAGGCGGCUCUCUGGUCUGCAACUGACGCUGAGGCUCGAAAGCAUGGGUAGCGAACAGGAUUAGAUACCCUGGUAGUCCAUGCCGUAAACGAUGAGCGCUAGGUGUUGGGGACUUUCCGGUCCUCAGUGGCCGCAGCA